rnacentral:lncRNA from 10 species
CUUUCUGUUCCUGGACUGCUGGUAGAUGCAGGCCUCCUGGGCACUGCCACAGCCACUCAUGGCCAGAGUGGCAUCUGUAGUGGCAGCAGCAGCAGGCACACAGGGCAGUGGCCAGAGCACUUUCAGUGAAAAAGGCAGAAGCCUUUACACUCCACCCCGGGCUGUUCUAAAAAUACUUAGCUGUGGUGUCAGAAUUCCUGGCCCGAGAGGGGAGGACUGCCUGAGCUCCGGGAGGUGGAGGCUGCAGUGAACCGAGAUGACAUCACUGCACUCCUGCAAAUCGGUGGGGUUUAGAGAUGAGUUCGAGAAAAGAGCUCCUCUUCACUAGGGCCCACCCACUCGCCUCCGCCUUCUGAGCCUGUCUCUUCCGAGGUGGAGCUGGCGCUGGAGCACAUCUUUCCGCGGAAGCCAUCUGACUUUGCUCCAGAAUCUCUCUCUCCUGUACAUCUUGCUUCAUAAACAGAAGACACCUAAGAUUAAAACAAUUUUCAACACAUCAAAAAGACUUUUUUUUCCCCAAAAGGGUGAGAUACUCUAUCUAUAUACAAAGAAGAAAUAAUAAAUCAUCAGUGUUUUCCUGUGGAGUUACAAACAUGCAGAGUUUUACUGUUUCAGAGCAAAACCGCCUCUCUUCUCUGAUCCAUGAAGGAUCCAAAAUCCUAAUUCCAC